rnacentral:rRNA from 1 species
UACGUAGGUGGCAAGCGUUGUCCGGAUUUACUGGGCGUAAAGGGUGCGUAGGCGGUUCGUUAAGUCUGUCGUGAAAUCCCCGGGCUCAACCUGGGAAUGGCGAUGGAUACUGGCGAGCUAGAGUGUGUCAGAGGAUGGUGGAAUUCCCGGUGUAGAGGUGAAAUGCGUAGAGAUCGGGAGGAACAUCAGUGGCGAAGGCGGCCAUCUGGGACAACACUGACGCUGAAGCACGAAAGCGUGGGGAGCAAACAGG